rnacentral:rRNA from 1 species
CGCAUGGUAGGAGAGCGUUCCGUAAGCCUGCGAAGGUGCGUUGAAAAGCGUGCUGGAGGUAUCGGAAGUGCGAAUGCUGACAUGAGUAGCGAUAAAGGGGGUGAAAGGCCCCCUCGCCGUAAGCCCAAGGUUUCCUACGCAACGUUCAUCGGCGUAGGGUGAGUCGGCCCCUAAGGCGAGGCAGAAAUGCGUAGCUGAUGGGAAGCAGGUCAAUAUUCCUGCACCAUUGUUAGAUGCGAUGGGGGGACGGAUCGCGGAAGGUUGUCCGGGUGUUGGAAGUCCCGGUCGCUGCAUUGGAGAAGGCGCUUAGGCAAAUCCGGGCGCGUAAUUCAAGGGUG